UGUAUACUUCAGGGCAGGGUGUAAUUCCCGAUCGGCGGUAAACCCCGCGAACCAAUUUGGUUGAACUUGUUAAAUUCAAGUGGCGACAGUUAAAGUCUGGAUGGAAGAAGUUUUUU
rnacentral:ncRNA from 2 species